rnacentral:rRNA from 1 species
GGGAUAACGUUUGGAAACGAACGCUAAUACCGCAUAAAAUAUCGGAGUCGCAUGGCACUGAUAUCAAAGGAGCAAUCCGCUGAAAGAUGGGCUCGCGUCCGAUUAGGCAGUUGGCGGGGUAACGGCCCACCAAACCGACAAUCGGUAGCCGGACUGAGAGGUUGAACGGCCACAUUGGGACUGAGACACGGCCCAGACUCCUACGGGAGGCAGCAGUGGGGGAUAUUGCACAAUGGGGGAAACCCUGAUGCAGCGAUGCCGCGUGAAUGAAGACGGCCUUCGGGUUGUAAAGUUCUGUCGCAGGGGACGAAAAUGACGGUACCCUGCAAGAAAGCUCCGGCUAACUACGUGCCAGCAGCCGCGGUAAUACGUAGGGAGCAAGCGUUGUCCGGAAUUACUGGGUGUAAAGGGAGCGUAGGCGGGAGGAUAAGUUGAAUGUGAAAUCUAUGGGCUCAACCCAUAGCUGCGUUCAAAACUGUUCUUCUUGAGUGAAGUAGAGGCAGGCGGAAUUCCUAGUGUAGCGGUGAAAUGCGUAGAUAUUAGGAGGAACACCAGUGGCGAAGGCGGCCUGCUGGGCUUUUACUGACGCUGAGGCUCGAAAGCGUGGGUAGCAAACAGGAUUAGAUACCCUGGUAGUCCACGCGGUAAACGAUGAUUAAUAGGUGUGGGUGGACUGACCCCAUCCGUGCCGGAG